ensembl:lncRNA
CAGGGACCCGGCGGGCAGGGCGUCCGGGGGCCCAGAGAUCAGACAUGGUGCCAGGAUUGCCCUCGCGAAGGCCAGGAACGGGCAUGGAGGUGGGAGAAAGGUGAAGAAGAUGAGGCUCAGAGAAGUUAAGUACCACCCAAGGCCCCAAAGCUAGGUCCAAACUAUGUCACAAUCUGACGUCCCUCCCAACUUCCCCCUGGCUCCCCGCCCAUCUUCCCUCACAGGUGUCCCCCAUAAAUCUCUUGCACAUAGAGUCCUGUCUUGGUGUCUGCUUCUUCAAGGACCAGAACGAAUUCUGACCUCUGCAGAAAUUGGACGGAUCCUGGAGGAAGACCGUAGACCGCCACGGCUUAACCAAGGGGGAGCCCUGCUGGCAGCUGCUGUGCCUGAUGUGGAGUCCUUGCCGGAGCAGGUUCACGAGGCCUUAGUCUCCCUUAGGAACAGCCCAAGGGAAACAGGCAAGAGCCACCCUCUGUAUCUGGUGGAGAAGCAGCACCGUGUGGCACAAGGGUGGACUGUGACAACCAUGAAGACUUCUCUCGGUUCUCUGGCUGCAGGGAUUGGAAGUGGCCGCCCGCGCCAGCUGCUGUAUCCUGAAAUCUAUUACUGAGUUUGCACUAAGAAUGCACUUCCCACGAGCUGCUGCCUGCCAGUGACUGAGCAUGGCGGGGAUCCUGGCAGGCUGUCCUCAGGAGAUUGCCGAUGGCUUGAGGACUUCUCACCUGCCUUGCCGAGCCUCGUUAGACCCGCACUGCAGUCUAAGUCUCCUCCGCCCAACUCUCCUUCCUUCUCUCUUUCACAAGGUCACACCCGCACCAUGGUCUCCUGGCUCUCCCAGGCUCCCCUGCUUCCCUUCCAUUACAAUUUGAGAAGAACUCAUUUAGAUGAUUUUGUCUUUAAAUCCUUUAAAUCUGUUUGGAACCUGAGUCUUUGCAAAGGUAAACAGUUGGAAUCACACAACCAUCUGGGUCCUUCAUUUUGUAGGUCAAAGCCCAGCAAAGUUAAGGCACUAGUUCAAAGUCACAUGGCGAACUAGAAUAGAGCCAGCACCCAGGGGUCUUACCCGCCAGCUCUUCCCACUGUAGGCUCUUCUGUGAGCAGGCUGCUUGCUCUAAAUGUGCAUUGUCUAGUGUGGUAGCACCGGAAAUGUGGGUAGUUGUGGUGUAAUAAAAAAACACUUGGUCUUUGUCCUGGGUUCCUGGCCUGGAGUCCCUCAAACCCUUAGAAUUUCCUGGGUGAUGGCGUGUCUCUCGUUAUUCACAAGGAGCGCCUCUGACCACACCUGUGUUUAUGCGAACGAAGUGACUCACGGUGGGGC